rnacentral:misc_RNA from 1 species
GAUGAAGAACGUAGCGAAAUGCGAUAAGUAAUGUGAAUUGCAGAAUUCAGUGAAUCAUCGAAUCUUUGAACGCACCUUGCACCCUUUGGUAUUCCGAAGGGUAUGCUCGUUUGAGUGUCAUUGUACUCUCACACUUCUAAUUCCUUUCGGGAUUGGGAGCGGUGGACUUGGGUGUUGCUGCUUUAGUUGUGGCUCACCUCAAAUAAGUUAGUGCAACUCUUGGUUGGACAUAGUACGGCGUGAUAAGUGUCUUCGCCGGCGCCUCUGUAAGGAGGGUGGCCGAUCGGGAGCUCUGUGCUUCAAACCGUCUUCGGACAAUCUUUGACAACUUGACCUCAAAUCGAGUAGGACUACCCGCUGAACUUAAGCAUAUCAAAAGCGGGGA